rnacentral:lncRNA from 1 species
AGCCAGUACACGAUGUCCCUCAAUCACCUCGCAGAUCUAGUAGGGUCUCCCAUCCUCCCGAUAGAUACUUAGGUAUACUAGAAGAGGAUACCGAGGAAAUGUUCCUAGUGGAAGAUAGGGAUCACAUACAAGAUCCCAAAACCUAUGACGAGGCGAUAUCUGAUAUCGAUUCCGAGAAAUAAUUGGAGUUAGACUCCAUGCAUUCCAACCAAGUCUGGA